GGCUGGUCCGAUAGUAGUGGGUUAUCAGAACUUAUCAACGUUAGGGUCACUAAAGUUGGUAUACAACCCCCCACUGCUAAAUUUGGUUUUAA
rfam:Pan troglodytes isolate Yerkes chimp pedigree #C0471 (Clint) chromosome 17, whole genome shotgun sequence.